rnacentral:rRNA from 1 species
GACGUAGGGCGCAAGCGUUAUCCGGAAUGAUUGGGCGUAAAGCGUCCGCAGGUGGCUAUGUAAGUCUGCUGUUAAAGAGUGAGGCUCAACCUCAUAAGAGCAGUGGAAACUACAUGGCUAGAGUGCGUUCGGGGCAGAGGGAAUUCCUGGUGUAGCGGUGAAAUGCGUAGAGAUCAGGAAGAACACCGGUGGCGAAAGCGCUCUGCUAGGCCGCAACUGACACUCAUGGACGAAAGCUAGGGGAGCGAAUGGG